GUGCCAGCCGCCGCGGUAAUACGGAGGAGGCAAGCGUUGUUCGGAAUCACUGGGCUUAAAGCGCGUGUAGGCGGGGUGUAGGGUGUUCAGUGAAAGCCCUCGGCUCAACCGAGGAAUGGCUGGGCAAACCGACACUCUUGAGGCAGGCAGAGGUAACCGGAACCUUUGGUGGAGCGGUGAAAUGCGUAGAGAUCAAAGGGAACGCCGGUGGCGAAAGCGGGUUACUGGGCCUGAACUGACGCUGAGACGCGAAAGCGUGGGUAGCAAACAGGAUUAGAAACCCUUGUAGUCC
rnacentral:rRNA from 1 species